rnacentral:rRNA from 1 species
UGAACGCUAGCGGCAGGCUUAACACAUGCAAGUCGAGGGGUAGAAGCAGCUUGCUGCUUUGAGACCGGCGCACGGGUGCGUAACGCGUAUACAAUCUACCUUUUACAGAGGGAUAGCCCAGAGAAAUUUGGAUUAAUACCUCAUAGUAUUUUCGAAUCGCAUGAUUUGAUUAUUAAAGUUCCAACGGUAAAAGAUGAGUAUGCGUCCCAUUAGCUAGAUGGUAAGGUAACGGCUUACCAUGGCAACGAUGGGUAGGGGUCCUGAGAGGGAGAUCCCCCACACUGGUACUGAGACACGGACCAGACUCCUACGGGAGGCAGCAGUGAGGAAUAUUGGACAAUGGGCGCAAGCCUGAUCCAGCCAUGCCGCGUGCAGGAAGACGGUCCUAUGGAUUGUAAACUGCUUUUGUACAGGAAGAAACACUCCCUCGUGAGGGAGCUUGACGGUACUGUAAGAAUAAGGAUCGGCUAACUCCGUGCCAGCA